rnacentral:tRNA from 1 species
GACUCCGUAGCUCAGUUGGUUAGAGCGUAGCACUGUUAUGCUAAGAGGAUUCGGUGCGCUCCACACCUUGCAGAUGGUUGUGAGUCCUCCCUUGCCCUCGGCAUCCUCUCAUCUUCGCCUGCAGGCGUCUGAAGAGAUGCUAAGGUCGGCGGUUCGAGCCCGCCCGGGGUCG